GUUGAUCCUGCCGGAGGAUACUGCUAUUGGAAUUCGAUUAAGUCAUGCGAGUUUCUGGUUGCUUGCAACCAGGGCGAACCGCUGAGUAUCACGUAGUUAAUCUGCCCUUAGGUCGAGGAUAACGUCGGGAAACUGACGGUAAUACUUGAUAGGGGAUUUGUUCUGGAACGACUUUUCCUUUAAAUUCGAGCCUAAGGAUGGGACUGCGGUGAAUUAGGUUGAUGUUAAGGUAAAAGCUUAACAUGCCGAUAAUUCAUAGGGGCCGUGAGAGCGGGGGCCCCCAGAUGGGUUCUUAGACACUAACCCAGACCCUACGGCUGCAGCAGAUGCGAAACCUCCACAAUGCGCGAAAGCGUGAUGGGGGAAUUCCAAGUGCCGGCGCAAAACGUCGGCUUUUCUAGAGCUUAAGUAACUUUAGGAAUAAGGGGUGGGUAAGACCGCUGCCAGCCGCCGCGGUAAUAGCGGCGCCCCAAGUGGUAUCCACGAAUAUUGGGCUUAAAGCGUUCGUAGCCUGUGCGAAAAGUCUCCUGUGAAAUCCUGUAGAUGACUAUAGGGCGUGCAGGGGAUACUAUCGUGCUUGAGACUGGGAAGGGCUGGAGGUACUCCUAGGGUAAUGGUGGAAUAUGAUAAUCCUGGGGGGACCACCUGUGGCGAAAGCGUCCAGCUGGAACAGUUCUGACGGUGAGGAACGAAAGCUAGGGGAGCGACCCGGAUUAGAUACCCGGUUAGUCCUAGCCGUAAACGAUGCUCGUUUGGUAUUGGCAAUCCUAUGUAGAUUGCCAGUGCCGAAGGGAAACCGUUAAACGAGCCGCCUGGGGAGUACGGUCGCAAGGCUGAAACUUAAAGGAAUUGGCGGGGGAGCACCACAAGGGGUGCGGCCUGCGGUUCAAUUGGAUAAUACGCCGCAAACCUUACCAGGAGCGACAGCAGAAUGAUGGUCAGUCUGAAGGGCUUACCUGACGCGCUGAGAGGUGUUGCAUGGCCGACGUCAGCUCGUGCCGUGAGGUGUCCAGUUAAGUCUGGUAACGAGCGAGACCCGUGCCUUAUGUUGCAAGAACGUUCUCCGGAGCGUUCGCACUCAUAAGGGAUCGCUGGCGAUAAGUCAGAUGAAAGGGCGGGCUACGUUAGGUCAGUAUGGCCCGAAUCUCCUGGGCUACACGCGGGCAACAAUGGCAAGGACAAUGAGAUGCUACUCCGAAAGGAGACGCAAAUCCCCAAAACCUUGUCCUAGUAUAGAUCGAGGGUUGCAACUCACCCUCGUGACAACGGAAUCCCUAGUAAUCGAAGUUUAGCAUACUUUGAUGAAUACGUCCCUGCUCCUUGCACACACCGCCCAUCAAACCACCUGAGUUGGCUUUAGGUGAGGCUCUAUCAUCAGGUAGAGUCAAACCCGGGGUCAGCAAGGGGGGUUAAGUUGUAACAAGGUA
rnacentral:rRNA from 1 species